UUAGGAGUGUGUGUGUGUUUGCUGCGUGAAAAUCGCGCGUGGAAGGUAACGAGGUGCCUCGAACCAAGUGGCUGUGGAUAACUGAACUGAAAGAGGUUAUAGGCAAAAGCCCAUAGACAGACAAGUUGGAAUCCUACAACCACACGGCAGAGGCUGCACAUUGCAGAACGUGAACUCAACAUCACUGAACGUGUACAGCUGAAUGUUGCUCGAAGUGACUUUGAAAAGUUUAAAGAAGUGAACAAGAAAAGUGAACAAAGUGGCAUCACCGUGAAGUGCAUGGACGGAAGGAACUGCGGAAAUUAUAUUGAUUUUUUCAUUUAUUUUCCAUGUAUGUUUUAAGUCUCGAAAAUAAAUGGUUAAUGGUU